rnacentral:rRNA from 1 species
UUCCGGUUGAUCCUGGCGGAGGUCACUGCUAUCGGGGUUCGAUUAAGCCAUGCGAGUCGAGAGGGUUCGGCCCUCGGCGUACUGCUCAGUAACACGUGGAUAACCUGCCCUAAGGAAGGGGAUAACCCCGGGAAACUGGGGAUAAUACCCUAUAGGUUACAGAUGCUGGAAUGCUCUGUAACCGAAAGCUCCGGCGCCUUAGGAUGGAUCUGCGGCCGAUUAGGUUGUUGUCGGGGUAACGGCCCAACAAGCCAGUAAUCGGUACGGGUUGUGGGAGCAAGAGCCCGGAGUUGGAUUCUGAGACACGAAUCCAGGCCCUACGGGGCGCAGCAGGCGCGAAAACUUUACAAUGCGGGCAACCGUGAUAAGGGAACCUCGAGUGCCUGUAUAUGCAGGCUGUCUGGGUGUCUAAAACACACCUAAAGAAAGGGCCGGGCAAGACCGGUGCCAGCCGCCGCGGUAAUACCGGCGGCUCGAGUGGUGGCCACUUUUAUUGGGCUUAAAGCGUUCGUAGCUGGGUUAUUAAGUCCCUUGGGAAAUCCGACGGCUUAACCGUCGGGCGUCUAAGGGAUACUGGUAAUCUUGGAACCGGGAGAGGUGAGGGGUACUUCGGGGGGUAGGAGUGAAAUCCUGUAAUCCUCGAGGGACCACCUGUGGCGAAGGCGCCUCACCAGAACGGCUUCGACAGUGAGGGACGAAAGCUGGGGGAGCAAACCGGAUUAGAUACCCGGGUAGUCCCAGCCGUAAACGAUGUGCGUUAGGUGUAUCGGUGACCACGAGUCACCGAGGUGCCGAAGGGGAAACCGUGAAACGUACCGCCUGGGAAAGUACGGUCGCAAGGGCUGAAACUUAAAGGAAUUGGCGGGGGGGGCAC